CAGGGAGACAACAAAAUGUUUAAUAUUAUUAUUUUGUCACCUUAGGUCGAUCGGUAUCUCACGUUCUUAAUUCUUUAAGAAUUUCAUUUCCUAAGUUUUUCUAGGUCACACCCAUUAUUUUCCUGGGCCAUUAGCUCAGGUGGUUAGAGCGCACCCCUGAUAAGGGUGAGGUCCCUGGUUCAAGUCCAGGAUGGCCCAUAUCUCUAUGUUGGGGGUAUAGCUCAGUUGGUAGAGCGCCUGCUUUGCAAGCAGGAUGUCAGCGGUUCGAGUCCGCUUACCUCCACUGAUCACCACCUCUUUCAUAAUCGGUACAAAGGAAAUUUUUUGAGUUGUGAUCAAAUUCUGAAAGAAUCUAGCUUCCUAAUGAAAUCAUUGAGAUGCUGGACUCAUUGAAUUAAUUUCAUUGUUUUCAGAGAACCUUGACAACUGCAUAGAUUAUUUCUAAAGACAAUAAGCAUCUUUAAUGAUGCAGAUUUAUUAUUUGUGCAAAUGCAUUAAUAACAAUUCUAUUAAGCUGAUGCUUCAAUUUUUGAAGUUAUU
rnacentral:tRNA from 1 species